AAGUAUUUUAAUUACAUAAAACUCGCCCGGGUACUACAAGCACUAGCUUAAAACCCAAAGGACUUGGCGGUGCUUUACACCCACCUAGAGGAGCCUGUUCUAUAACUGAUAACCCCCGUUAAACCUCACCCUAUUUUGCCUAAUCAAUUUAUAUACCGCCGUCGUCAGCUUACCUUGUGAAAGAACAACAGUGAGCAAAACUAGUUAUAACCCAAAACGUCAGGUCGAGGUGUAGUUUAUGAUAGGGAAAGAAAUGGGCUACACUCAUUCAUUAAAAUGAAUACGGAUAGUAUAUUGAAACAUAAACCUGAAGGAGGAUUUAGCAGUAAGAAGAAAAUAG
rnacentral:rRNA from 1 species